CGGGAAAAGCUCAAAUUUAAAAUCUGGUGGCCCUUCCGCCAUCCGAGUUGUAAUUUAGAGAAGCGUCUUCCGCGCUGGACCGUGCAUAAGUCUCCUGGAACGGAGCGUCAUAGAGGGUGAGAAUCCCGUCUU
rnacentral:rRNA from 1 species